GACGAACGCUGGCGGCGUGCUUAACACAUGCAAGUCGAACGGAAAGGCCCUGCUUGCAGGGUACUCGAGUGGCGAACGGGUGAGUAACACGUGGGUGAUCUGCCCUGCACUUCGGGAUAAGCCUGGGCAACUGGGUCUAAUACCGGAUAGGAGCCAUUUUUAGUGUGAUGGUUGGAAAGUUUUUUCGGUGUAGGAUGAGCUCGCGGCCUAUCAGCUUGUUGGUGGGGUAAUGGCCUACCAAGGCGGCGACGUGUAGCCGGCCUGUGAGGGUGGACGGCCACAUUGGGACUUAGGUACGGCCCAGACUCCUACGGGUGGCAGCAGGGGGGAAGAUUGCACCAUGGGCGCAAGCCGGAUGCAGCGACGCCGCGUGGGGGAUGACGGCCUUCUGGUUGAAAACUCCUUUCGCUAGGGACGAAGCUUUUUGUGACGGUACCUAGAUAAGAAGCACCGGCUAACUACGUG
rnacentral:rRNA from 1 species